rnacentral:snRNA from 1 species
UUUCUUACCUGGCAGGGGAGAUACUAUGAUCACGAAGGUGGUUUUCCCAGGGCGAGGCUUAUCCAUUGCACUCCGGAUGUGCUGACCCCUGCGAUUUCCCCAAAUGCGGGAAACUCGACUGCAUAAUUUGUGGUAGUGGGGGACUGCGUUCGCGCUCUCCCCUG